rnacentral:rRNA from 1 species
CGUAGGUGGCAAGCGUUAUCCGGAAUUACUGGGUGUAAAGGGCGUGUAGGCGGGGAUGUAAGUCAGAUGUGAAAUGCUGGGGCUCAACUCCAGACCUGCAUCUGAAACUAUAUCUCUUGAGUGCUGGAGAGGAAAGCGGAAUUCCUAGUGUAGCGGUGAAAUGCGUAGAUAUUAGGAGGAACACCAGUGGCGAAGGCGGCUUUCUGGACAGUAACUGACGCUGAGGCGCGAAAGCGUGGGGAGCAAACAGGAUUAGAUACCCUGGUAGUCCACGCUGUAAACGAUGGAUACUAGGCGUAGGAGGUAUCGACCCCUUCUGUGCCGGAGUUAACACAAUAAGUAUCCCACCUGGGGAGUACGGCCGCAAGGUUG